UUCACUCAAUGUCCACUCACCUUUUGCAAACCUGCAAAACCAAUUCACAAUUUAAAAAAACAGCUUAUCCAAAUAAGCACUUUAAAAACUAGAAAAUAAAGGAUGGAACAAACAGAUUAACUCUUUACACAACAAACCAAGAAGAACGUUCAAAGAUCACAUUCCAAUAUCCAAACUAACAAACUUAAAUCCAUAAGAUUAAUCAUCCCACAAAAUCUGGAGAAAGGAUAGCUUGGCAAGUUAUCUUAUAACCAACAAUGAGCAUAUAUAAACAAGAAGAAAAACUAAUUAACAGACACGUUUUGAAAAACUCAGAGGAAAUUACUAAAAAUAUUUUUCUCUAUUAAAACCACAAACAAAAGAACAAGGCAUAGGUUUUUGACAAAUUCAACAGGAUAACAAAAUAUUUCUCAACUCAAUCAAAGACUUUUUCUCUGUUAAACCUAAACCAAACAGAAGAAACUUUUUUUUCCAGAGAACAAUCAAACAAUAAUCCAUAAAAACCUCUAAACCCUAAGACUCAAGCCAAGCAACAACAACACUUAAAGCAAGAAUAAAAGAAAGCGGGAAAUAGAAGAAGAUGGAGAACUCAUCUUAAACCGUGGGGAGCUUCGCCGGAGUUUGAUUUCGAACAAGUAACUUUUUCCUUCAUUCAAGUCUUUGCAUCAUCAUCAUUUACGCCUCUUCAUACUGGAUGAGAUCCUUAUUUUAAUUUCUUCAAAACUUUGUUGUAAAACUUCAAAUCUUGAAUCUAGGGUUAGACUUUGGGUGUUUAAGUUUCGGUCUAGGUUAAGAACGAUUCAAGCUAUGUUUGGCCGUGUGAGAAGGAGGGUUUAGGGUUAGGAUUAGUUUUGGUGUUUCGAAGGAGAGCCUCGAUCCAGCCAUUUAAGGAAGAAUUCGGAAAAAGCGAGUUCAGAUUUGAACUCAGAAGCUAAAAUAAAGCUGAGGUUUGGUUGUUCUUUAGGGUUGAGGGAGGUGGUCACCGGAGAAGACGGUGGCGGCCGCCGCGCGCCGCAGCUUCUCCGAUGAAGGUUGAACGGAGAUGAUGGUGAUAAUUGCAGAGCGAUUUUCUUUUUCAUUUAGGUGAAGUAGAGAGAGAGAACGAAGAGAGAGAGGAAGGAGGGGAAUGACCUCUCUUCCUCCGUUUCCUUGUUUUAUUAUAUUAUUAUUAUUAUUUUGGGGCGCCAUGUGGCCCCUUUCCAGUGGCGCCAUGUGUUUGGCCAGCCAGGGGAUCCUGUGUGGAUCCCUCCACCAUAUGGUGGUACACCCCUUGCAAGCAAUCUCUUUGAUUGUUGACCCAGUCAAAGUAUGCUGAACGCGUGGUCAUGAUUUUCUCAUAUCUAGUCAACCUUUGACCAAACCAUUAGGGCUUUUGGUGAUUUCGUUUGGGCCAAUAUUGUUUGGGUCCAAAGACAUGAUCUCUAUUUAAACCCCCAUUCUAUUUCCAGCAGGAUUUUGGUUUGGGCUUCUCUCCAACUUGGACCAUUUGCUUGCAUUUUUAGUUUAUUUUAUUUAUUCUGUUUUAUUUCUACAUAUAUAUAAAAUACAAAAUAUUUUUGUGACUAUUAAGUAAAAUAAAACAAUUCUUUAGUUUACUUACUUCAUUUCAAAAUUAUAAUUAUAUUAUUAUUAUUAUUAUUAAUUUUUAAUAGUAAAUAUGUAAUCAUAUUAUUAUUAUUAUCAUAAUUUUUAAUAAAUAUGUAAUUAUAUUAUUAUUAUUAAUAUUUAAUAAAUAUGCAAUUAUUUGGUUAUAUUCAUUAUUUAUUUUUAUAUAUUACUUAUUAUUUAAUUAAAAUAAAAUAAUCCGUUAAACAUUCAAUUAAUUAAUUAGUUAUAUCAUCACUAAUGUCCUUCAUAACUUAGAUGUUUGUUUAUCUUGUGGAGUGUAAUUUGCAUGAUUAUCUUGUGGAGUGUAUUUAUUUAUACAUCGUUUUCACUGAUUUAAAAAUCAUUCAAGCCAAUUUCAAAUGAAUCACAUACUUCUCGAUUCAAAGUCGAGCCCAUUUUCAGCACCUUUGUAAGUCGAUUGCUUUUAAAGCAUCGCCAUCAACCUCACAUAGCUUACUCUUGGACUUUUCUUACAAUGAGACCCUUUGAUUAUUAAUUAAUCGAUUAGAUGAUGGAUUCACAAAAUUCAAUUCAUUACAAAAUACAAAUUUAAAACCUCGAUCCGACAUCGAGUAUUCCUUAUUAAGAAUUAAAAUACCUGGUCACAAUUAAACGUUAUUUCAUUUAGGAAUAAAAGAGGAAAUGGUUUUGAGUUUUCAACUCUUAUCCUCGAUUAUUUAAACACGAACUCUUGUACUCAAUUAAUCGAACAACAGUCAUUCCCGAUCCACCAAAGCACAAAAAAAUCAAAUUCUUUUACAAUAAGAAACAAAAAGGGAGAUGACUUUGAGUCUUCAAUUUUUUCUCCUCGAUUAUUUGAAUACUAGUUCCCUUACUUGGUAAGUCAAAUAAUUGGCGUUCCUCCAAAAACCUCCAAACUCCGAUUAAAUCAAAAUAUUUUCACGGUAAACUAAAUGAAAAGGGAGUUGACUUUGAGUUUUCAACUUCACUCCUCAAUUGGUCGAAUACGAGUUCUUUUACUCGGUCAGUCGAACAAUUGUCAUUUUUCGCAAACAUACGACUUUAAUCAAGUCAUUUUCUUAACAAACUGUACGAAGAAGGAGAUGGUUUUGAGCUUUCAACUCCUCUUCUCAAAUGCUUGGAUAUGAGUUGUUUUACUUAGUCGUUCAAGUACUUGUCGUUCAUUAUAAAAUAUGUCAUCAUAUACAACCUUAUUUCCCUAAUUAUUCAGAUGAAACAAAAGCGGAUAAAGUCUUCUAUUCCCUUUCUCGAUUAUUAGGAUACGAGUUGUCUUACUCGAUUAUUAGAGUAUUUGUCAUCCAUUCAAAACACCUUAGUCGUUAUUAAAUCCUUUCUAUAAUUAAGGAUGAAAAAGAAAGCGGUCUAGAGUCUUUUAUUCCCUUUCUCGAUUAUUAGGAUACGAGUUCUCUUACUCGAUUAUCCGAGUAUUCGUCAUCCAUUCAAAACACCUUAGUCGUUAUUAAAUCCUUUCUAUAAUUAAGGAUGAAAAAGAAAAUGGUCUAGAGCCUUCUAUCCCCUUUCCCGACUGUUAGGAUACGAGUUGUCUUACUCGACUAUCCGAGUAAUCGUCAUCCAAUCGAAAACAUCUUAAUCAAUCAAAACAUCCAACCUAUUAAUCCAACUUGGCACCUCGUGUGACCAAAACUCUUUUAAGAAAGAACAUUGUUUAAUCCUUUCUAAUGCGCACAACAAACUAGCGCUUAAGCCUCCACCGAGAGUAGACAAGUCAGUGUUUAGCCUUUAGAACGCGAUCUAAACAUUUGUUCAUUAAAAAACACCAACCAACCGUAGUUCCCCGAACUACGAAUGCUCUGAUUUCCUUAUUAUGCCAUAAGGAUACAUAGGCAGGAGAUUGAUGUAUCUUCGCGAGCACACUAAUAAACAACCUCCCCUUUCCCUUUCUGAGGUUCUCAUCCAUUUCUAUUUUUAAUGUUUUAUAACCCAAAGAUAACAAACAAACAUAAAUUAACACUCGAAACGCAAAUUAGAACUAAAAGGUUCUCGUUGAGUACAACAGACGUGAGGGGUGCUAAUACCUUCCCCUUACCUAAUCCACUCCCGAACCCGAAUAUGGUUGCGACGACUCUUAUUCUAUUUUCUAAAGGUUUUAUCGAUAGUUUCCUAUUCCUUCAUUGGAAUAAAUAAAGUUCGGUGGCGACUCUGUUCGAACAUUAAUUUUUUUCGCGACCAUCACAAGGAAUCGUAUUUUUCGAGAUGCGACAGAUGGCGACUCUGCUGGGGACUAGCUCCAAGCAAAAGAGAGUGAAGCCUAAUUUAGUUUAGUUUUUGUAUUGUGUGUUAAUCUUGUUUGUUUAUCUGUUAUUUUUUUAUUCUGCUAUUAUUAUUCUGUCAUAAUUAUCAUAUUGUGAUUUAUUGACUAUGUCUUAUUGGGGGUGCUCUGGUUGGUGAUACUUCGUGAGAUAGGCUCUCCACCCGAGUUUGAGGAAAACCAUAAGAUUAAGUUGGUGGUUGUGUAGUGGACGCCCACAAGGAGUCUUCCUUGUUGGGAAGAAACGAAGACCCCGCCUAGAGGAGAUUCUCUUGAAAUGUUAUUGCCCGACGAGUUUUCGUCACGAUGAUAGUAUUCUCAAGUUGGAUCAAUGACUCCAGGGACCUUUCAACCCAUUUUAUCCAGUGGUUAUGUAGUAUCUACCUGAAAAGUCCCAGACUUAUUGGGUUAAUACGAAAGGCCCAAUCAGAUGAGAUCUCUUGGGCAUAUUACUACCUUACAGUGGUAUUCCCAACCUCGAUUUAUGACUCUGAGAACCUUAUUAGAAGCUUGGACUCGAGAGUUGUAUGGACCCACUAGGAGUCUUCCUCUUUGGGACCAUACGAAGGCCUCACCCAAACGAGACUCUGUUUAGGGAUGUUAUUAGCAGAUGAGUUUUCAUCAUGACAAUAACUUUCUUAAAUAUUGAUUGAUGACUUUGGGAACCUCUUACCUUUAGCAUUCUCCCAAAAGGGUUUUGUUUAGUAACCAAGAAUACCCACUCUCAUGACCUGUAUAUUAACCUACAUGUGACACGCAUGAUAUCAUUCAUAGCAUAACAUUCAUACUAUUUUAUUUCCAAGGAAUCUGAGUAUCAUGAGUUGCAGGAAUUCAAGAAACAUGGAAUCAAGAAAAAGAAACAUUUACUCCUUCAAGUUCAAGGAUCCCGAUCUAAAGAACUUACGUAACUUGGUCUCUCAGAUGCACCCAGUAUACAGAAUCAACUUUGGAAAGAAUUGUGGCAAUUUGCUCAGCAUCCUCAAUCAACAAGUGGACCAUACAACCUUAAUCACUUUAACCCAAUUCUAUGACCUACCUUUAAGAUGCUUCACCUUCCAAGAAUUCCAGCUAGCACCAAUGUUGGAAGAAUUUGAGCGUCUUGUUAGGAUUCCUAUCAAGAACAAGCCACUAUUUGAAGGGAUAGAUGAAUUUGUGCCCCUUGAGGCCAUUGCUAGUGCGCUUCAUAUGGAUGAAAAGGAAGUAGAAGCUAACUUAGAGACCAAAAGGAAUACCAAAGGAUUUUCACUAAGUUUUCUUUUGGAAAGAGCUCAUACCCUAUUGAAGGCAGAAAGUUGGGAUGCUUGUUACUCUGCUAUUGCAUUGGCCAUCUAUGGCGUCGUCCUGUUCCCGAAUAUGGAUGGUUUCAUAGACAUGACUGCCAUUUGUGUUUUCCUUACUGGGAACCCAGUACCCACUUUGUUAGUUGAUGUCUAUUAUUACAUAAGUCAUAGGUAUACUAAGAAGAAGGGAUUAAUUGCUUGUUGUGCUCCCUUAUUGUAUCAGUGGUUUCUAGAACAUCUUCCGAAGACAGGUGCUUGGGUUGAACAGACAGAUGUUAGUUGGCCUCAAAGAUUGGGAUCACUCCGAUCUGAAGAUCUCUCUUGGUACUCCGAAGAAUACAUCAACAUGGAUAUCAUACUCAGUUGUGGAGAUUUCCCAAAUCUACCGCUUAUUGGAACUCAAGGAUGUGUGAAUGCUAAUCCAGUUCUAUCACUCAGACAACUUGGCUACCCAAUGGAAGGCCCUCUAGAGGCAAAUUCUUUGGAAGCUUUCUUGUUACUUGACUUUGGGGUUGAGAAUCCUAGCUUAUUCCAGUGAAUCAAAGAAGCUCGGAAGAAUGUCAACCGAAAAGGGAAAACUGAGUUAGGGAGAGCAAAUGGGAUCACAAAAGAACCAUAUUUUCAGUGGAUAAAGGAAAGGGUGCAAAUGAUUAAAAUGCCAUUUGUCAUUCGGACGCCUAUACCUCUUCCUGAACCUAAGCUGACCCAUGUCCCUAUUGAAGAAAUGGAGGAACUCAAGACCACCACGGCAAAGCUAGACAAAGAGAAUGAAGAGCUGCAGAUAAAACUCCAACAAACCAUCAAUGAGAAAAACAAUAUGAAGUGGGAGCUUGAGAGAAAAGAGGCACAACUUCAAGCACACGUGGAAAAGUUCAACAAGGAGGAGCAUAAAAGAAAGAAGAUCAAAGUGGGAUUAGAACAAGUUGAUCAUUGUUUGGAUACUCUUAAGGGUCAACUACGACAAGCUCAGAAAGAAUGUCAAGACAAUGAGCGUUGGUGGCAUCUAGCCACAAAGGAAAACAAGACGAUAAGGGAUACACUUGGGGCUCAGAUAAAAGAGCUCACCAAUUUCUUAAGGGUCAACUACGACAAGCUCAGAAAGAAUGUCAAGACAAUGAGCGUUGGUGGCAUCUAGCCACAAAGGAAAACAAGACGAUAAGGGAUACACUUGGGGCUCAGAUAAAAGAGCUCACCAAUUCUGUUCGUCAUGCGAAGGCUGAAGUAGAUCAGGAGCGCCGACUCAAGAACAUAGCCACUGAAGCUUCUAGGGUGUCACCUAUGAUAUGGGAAGAGAAGUGUCGUGAAGUAAGAUACGCCAGGGAGUCUGUCAGCUAUUGGAAAAACCAUCUAGAGUCAUUACGCCAAGACAACUCCAUAUGGUUGAAAGAGCGAGACUAUGUAUUGAAGAUCAUGAAUCCUUUAAGAAGACCAUAGACUUCUUGCAAGGAGAUAGGGAUAAGUUUCGUGCAAAACUUGGAGGGUUAGUGGGGUUCUGUAAUUGGGCAGCUAAAGAAUUGCCAUGGAGGUUGAGAGACGCAGUCGAAGAGUUGAAAGAAGAUAACACUCCUCCAGCCAUAAUCAGUUUCAUUCUGCUCUGUAAAGGGUUGUUGAAGAGAUUCAAUGAGGAACUAGAAGAGCUUCAGGCCAGAAAGCCAACUGUUUAAUUUGCUUAUGUCUUCUAUUUUGUUCCUUUAACAAAUGUACUUUUGAACUAUGACCUUUUUGGACCUCUAUGUUAUGUAUUGUAAUGAAUGACGUUUAAAAAAUACUCCAUUAUUGCUAUUCUAAGUAUUUCUUGUUUCUUCGAAUUACUAACAACUAAUGAAACUCGAAUGACUCCCUGGAAAUAAAAUAUGCAUAACAUUCGCAUCUUCAUUAUGCAUCAUGCUUCAUAAAAAUCAAAAAACCUUACCCAACCUUUUUACCAUUAUCCAACCACACUGACUAAUCAACACCGAUACGAGACGCGAAGCAAAUACAAGAUGACAUUAGAGCAGGUUGAGGCCAACCAGGUUACCAUGAGGACAAACAUAAAUACGAUCCAGGAGAAGAUGGAUCAGCUGUUGGAGAUAAUGCUUGCGAUCGCUCAGAGAGAGAGGAGCGAUGAGGAAGAAGCCAGAGCAAAAAGGAAUGAUGACACGCCAAGUCUGAAUCCCCAAGACGAAAGUUACGUCCCCACCAAGAAGAGAUUGGUUCAGAUACCGGUAGGAGGCAAAGGAGAUGGAGACCGUGCAGAACGUUCUGAUACGUCUACUCAUCAUGGAUCCAAAAUUGGAGAUGACCAAUAUGAUGCAUUCUAUAUGCCUGAUCAACCAAAACCUGAGAUACUUCCAGAUCCUACGGCAGAUAGGCUUCGUGCUCUGGAAAAGAAGAUCAAAGCCACAGAAGGAAACAAUAUCUUCGGUGCUUCUGCCAUGAACAUGCGUUUGGUAUCAAAUUUAGUCAUCCCGACUAAAUUUAAAACUCUUAAUUUCGAGAAAUACAAAGGACAAACUUGUCCAAGAAGCCACCUGGUAAUGUACUUCAGGAAAAUGGCCGCUCAUACCGAAAAUGACAAACUACUUGUACACUGCUUCCAAGAUAGUCUGAGUGGAGCAUCUCUGAGAUGGUACAUGAGCUUAGAACAUGGGCGGAUUCAAAAUUGGGAGGAUUUGGCUGACGCAUUUCUCCGUCAGUAUAAAUAUAACUUAGAUAUGGCACCCGACCGGAUGCAGUUGCAAGGAAUGGCUAUGAAGGAGAGUGAGUCAUUUAAAUAAUACGCUCAACGGUGGAGAGAGUUGGCUGCUCACGUAGAGCCACCAUUGUUUGAGAAGGAAAUGACCGGGAUAUUUGUAGACGCCUUAAAGGACCCUUUCUUUGAUCGACUAGUGAGCAGUGCAACAUCUGACUUCGCACAUCUAGUCAUAAUUGAAGACCGCAUAGAGAAGGGGUUGAGGGAUGGAAAGAUUCCAGGAGCAGUGACAACACCUAGCGCACCAAAGAAGUAUUCUGGAGGCUUCCCAAAGAAAAGAGAAGGUGAAACAAACGCCAUAUCUAGAAACUAUAAAGGGAAGCAACAAGCUUCAUAUGGUCAAGUCGCCGCCGUGGUGCCUAUACCCUAUCAACAACCAAUGCAGCAAUAACAAAUGUAUCAACCACAUCAUCAACAACAUCAUCAUCAGCAAAAUACCGCACCACCAAGACAAUUCAAGCCAAGACCUCCAAGAAGGCAACUUGAUCCCCUACCAGUACCUUAUAGUCAGAUAUUCCCAUAUCUGCAAAAGGAGGGCUUUCUAACAUUGAGGAAGUUAAAACCAAUUGUUUUUCCAUAUCCACCUGGAUACGAUGCUAAUGCCCAUUGUGUGUUUCACAUGGGAGCACCUGGUCAUACCUUGGAAAACUGUUUCACAUUUCAAAAUCGGGUACAAGACUUGAUCGAAGCCAAGGCCGUUUCUUUCACUCCGAGACGCCCGAACGUGAACACCAAUCCUAUGCCAACACAUAAGGAUGCUUCCGUCAGUGCCAUUGAGGAAGGUGAUCAAGGCAAAUUGAUCCGUAAGGUUGAAGAGAUUCAAACCCCUAUCACCAAGAUAGGAGUACAGUUGCUGAAGAGUGGUCUGAUCCCGGAAGAGCUGAUUGAGGAAGAGAACAAUGAAGAGUUGGGGAGUUUUAUACAACAAAUGUUGGGUCGAAGCGAGUUACAGAUAAAUUGUCGUGUCAAGAGCAAGCGCCAGGAAGAGAUAGUCGUGGUAGAUAUCCUCUAUGAUGAGGUUAAAGUAGAAAUACCUAUAAGCCCGUUGGUGAUAGAGUUCCCAGCACCAUUCGAAUAUAAAGAUGAGAAGGCAGUCCCAUGGAUAUAUCAGCCUAGAGCUUUUAAACAGGGGCAGGAAGAUAAACCUUUAAUGAUCAAUGAACCAAAUGUCACUUCAAUUAUGGGGCCAGUAGGAAUGACGCGUAGUGACCGAGUGUUCGCACCAAGAACUGCUGAUACUUCUGAAAGAGCUAAAGGGAAGGAGGCUGAUGUCCAGAUCCCCAUCCCUAAUCAAGGGAUGCAAGACAUGCACCUGUCUCCUAAAGCUGCUGUCACUCAUGAGGAGGCUGAGGAGUUUUUUAGAAUAAUCAAGAAAAGCGAUUAUAAGGUGGUGGAUCAGCUAAACCAAACACCUUCCAAAAUUUCCAUGUUAUCUCUACUGCUCAACUCAGAAGCACACAGGAAUUCGCUAUUGAAGGUAUUAAGCGUCACUCAUAUCACCAAGGACAUAACAAUAGAACAGUUUGAUGAUGUGAUAGCUUGUGUGAGUACUGGGAAUUUCUUUGGUUUUAAUGAUGACGAGCUACCGAUUGAGGGAAAGAACCAUAACAAGGCUCUCUAUAUCUCUUUGAAAUGCAUAGAUACUAUAUUGUUAAGGGUGUUGGUAGACACAGGUUCCUCAUUGAACGUUAUGCCAAAGAUGACUUUGAUAAAGCUGCCAGUGGAAGGGAUAAGUAUGAAACCUAGUACCCUAAUCGUAAAAGCAUUUGAUGGCUCAAGGCGAGCAGUGAUAGGAGAAGUUAACUUACCAACCAAGAUAGGUCCAACUAUUUUCAAUAUCACGUUCCAGGUCAUGGAUAUACACCCUGGUUACAGUUGCCUACUUGGGAGACCCUGGAUUCACUCCGCAGGUGCUGUCACCUCCACUCUGCAUCAAAAACUAAAAUUCAUUACAAAUGACAAGAUGAUUGUGGUUGGAGGAGAAGAAGAUAUCUCCACUCUGCAUCAAAAACUAAAAUUCAUUACAAAUGACAAGAUGAUUGUGGUUGGAGGAGAAGAAGAUAUCUUGGUUAGUCACUUGACAUCUUUCCGAUAUAUCGAGGUGGAUGGUGAAAUCACUAAUACACCAUUCCAAUCCUUGGAAGUGGUAAACAUGAUGGUCGUCCAAUAGACCUUGGAGGUCCCGAAAUCAGGACCGUCCAUGGCCUCGUGGCAAGGAGCUAAAGUUGUUAUGGAAAGUGAAGAUGCUUAAGACCGGGGCAAAGUGGUGGAAGUAAAAGAGAAACGAGACAAGUUUGGCCUGGGGUAUGACCCAUCAUUACACAAAGCCGGAAAUCAACCUGACAAGGAGAAGACUCCUUCUGUGGAGAAAACAUUCACCAGUGUUGGCCACAUCUUUGGCAAGCAGGUGACAAUGAUCAGCGAAGAAGAUCGUGAAGAGGGAGUGUCCAGCUGGAUGCGUCAAGCCGCACCUAAUGAAGAACUAACAAACUGGAAGGUUGUGGAAGUUCCCCAAAUAUUUCAAAAGCAAUUUUAUCAUUUUUAGACAAAACCCUGUGCUCUGCCCAAGGCACAUUGACAUGUUGUAGGGCCUCCUUUAUUUUUUUCAAGAGUUUUUAUCAUUAAUGAAAUGAAGUUUUGCAUUUAAUUUUUUUUCCUUUUCCUUCGUUUUGAUCUAUUUACGAAAAUGGCAAUCAAUUUUUAUGCACGCACUUCCUAAAUGAACUGCAUAAAUCAUAACAUGCAGAAACACCACUGAGACCGUUGAUAACGACACUACUAUGGUUCAAUAUGACUUUGAUUUUCCAAUCUACCAAGCUGAAGACGGAGUGGGGAAGAUUGCGAACUCCCUGAAGAGUUGGCCAGAUUACUCAGACAAGAAGAAAAGGUCAUUCAACCACACCAAGAAGACGUUGAAGUUAUCAAUCUGGGAACAUAAGAAGAUAAGAGAUAAGUGAGGAUAGGCGCCGCACUUCAAGAUACAGUGAGGACAAGACUGAUAGAGCUCCUCUACGAAUAUGAUGACGUGUUUGCUUGGUCAUACCAAGACAUGCCUGGAUUAGACACUGAUAUCGUGACCCACAAGCUUCCCCUUAAAGAAGAAUGCCCUGCUGUUAAACAAAAGCUGAGAAGAACUCGACCAGAUAUGGCUCUCAAGAUCAGAGAAGAGGUAAGAAAGCAGUUUGACGUUGGUUUCCUGGAAGUCGCCAAAUACCCACAAUGGGUUGCCAACAUUGUACCAGUACCGAAGAAAGAUGGAAAGGUCCGCAUGUGCAUAGACUACUGAGACUUGAACAGAGCCAGUCCCAAAGAUGAUUUCCCAUUACCUCACAUUGAUGUAUUGGUGGAUAACACAGCUCAGUUCUUCGUGUUUUCCUUUAUGGAUGGUUUCUCUGGAUACAACCAAAUCAAAAUGGAUCCCGAAGACAUGGAGAAAACCAUGUUCAUUACUCCUUGGGGCACCUUUUGUUACAAAGUAAUGUCGUUUGGAUUAAAAAACGUUGGGGCAACAUAUCAACGUGCCAUGGUGACUCUCUUUCACGACAUGAUUCAUGAAGAGAUUGAGGUGUAUGUCGAUGACAUGAUUGCCAAGUCCCAGACAGAAGAAGAACACAUCACCAACCUAGGGAAACUAUUCGCUCGUUUGAGGAAGUUUAGGUUGAGACUUAAUCCUAACAAAUGCACAUUUGGGGUUCGAUCUGGGAAGCUUUUAGGCUUUAUUGUAAGGCAAAAGGGAAUUGAAGUAGAUCUUGACAAGGUUCGAGCCAUUCAGAACAUGCCUACACCAAAGACUGAAAAAGAGGUUCGUGGUUUCUUGGGGAGGCUAAAUUACAUCGCCAGGUUUAUUUCUCACCUUAGUGCAACGUGCAAACCAAUAUUCAAGCUUCUGAGGAAGAAUCAAGGUGCGGAGUGGAAUGAGGAUUGUCAGAUAGCCUUCGAUAAAAUCAAAGAAUACUUGCAAGAGCCACCAAUUCUAAUGCCCCCUGCCAAAGGGAGACCUCUCAUCAUGUAUCUAACCGUGCUCGAUGAGUCCAUGGGUUGUGUAUUGGGACAACAAGAUGAGACUGGUAGAAAAGAGCAUGCCAUCUAUUAUCUGAGCAAGAAAUUUAAUGAUUGUUCAUCAUGUAUCUAACCGUGCUCGAUGAGUCCAUGGGUUGUGUAUUGGGACAACAAGAUGAGACUGGUAGAAAAGAGCAUGCCAUCUAUUAUCUGAGCAAGAAAUUUAAUGAUUGUGAGACCAGAUACUCAUUACUCGAGAAGACCUGUUGUGCACUUGCAUGGGCCGCUAAGCGUCUCAGGCAAUACAUGCUAACUCACACGACUUGGUUGGUAUCUAAAAUGGAUCCCAUCAAGUACAUAUUCGAGAAACCAUCUCUCACUGGUAGAAUUGCCCGAUGGCAGAUGCUGUUGUCAAAAUACGAUAUCCAGUAUGUUGCGCAAAAGGCGAUCAAAGGGAGCAUAUUAGCAGACCAUCUUGCUCACCAACCGCUGGAGGAUUACCAAUCUUUGAAAUUUGACUUCCCAGAUGAGAACAUCAUGGCUGUUAAGGAAGUUGAAGACUCCGAACUAGAGGAAAGUCUGGAACCAAGAACAGGUUGGACGCUCAUGUUUGAUGGUGCCUCAAAUGCAAUAGGCCAUGGAAUUGGGGCAGUGCUGAUGUCUCCCAAAAAUUUCCAUCUACCAUUCACCUCAAAGCUUUGUUUUACCUGCACAAACAAUAUGGCCGAGUAUGAAGCUUGCAUACUAGGGUUGGAAGAAGUUAUUGAGUUGAAGAUCAAGAUACUAGAAGUAUUCGGGGACUCCGCUCUAGUCAUACAUCAGAUUAGAGGUGAUUGGGAAACAAGACAUGCUAACCUAAUUCCAUACCAGGAUUACGUGCUGAAGCUACUCCCAAAGUUCGACGAAAUCACUUUCUCUUAUAUUCCUCAAGAAGAGAAUCAGAUGGCAGAUGCCUUAGAAACUUUGGCUUCCAUGUACAAAUUGAUAUGGCCCAACCAUCAGCCUCAUAUUGAAGUUAGGCGUUUUGACGAACCUGCUCAUUGCCUGACGACAGCAGAAGAGCCAGAUGGUAAACCUUGGUUCUUUGAUAUCAAACAGUAUCUGGAAAAGAGGGAAUAUCCGGCAGAGGCUUCCAGCCUUGACAAAAGGACCCUCCGGAGGUUGGCAUCAAAAUUUCUCUUGAAUGGAGAGGUAUUGUACAAACAAAACUAUGACAUGGUUUUGUUGAGGUGUGUGGACAAAAACGAAGCAGGUCAACUUAUGAGGGACAUACACGAAGGGUCUUUCGGUACACACGCCAAUAGGCAUGCCAUGGCAAAAAAAAUUCUAAGGGAAGGUUACUACUAGUUGACGAUGGAAACUGACUGUUAUCAUUACACCAGAACAUCCCACAAGUGCCAAAUCUAUGCUGACAAAAUACAUGUACCGCCUACCCCGCUGAAUGUCAUAACAUCACCUUGGCCUUUCUCUAUGUGGUGCAUCGACAUAAUUGGAAUGAUAGAACCUAAAACGUCAAAUGGACACAGAUUUAUCUUGGUGGCCAUAGAUUACUUUACCAAAUGGGUGGAAGCCGCGUCUUAUGCGAAUGUCACAAAGCACGUAGUUGUCCGUUUCUUGAAAAAUAAUAUCAUAUGUCGAUAUGGGAUUCCCAACAAAACCAUCACCGAUAAUGGGUCCAAUCUCAAUAGCAAGACCAUGGAUGAGUUAUGCGCAACAUUCAAGAUCGAGCACCACAACUCAUCACCCUACCGACCUAAGAUGAAUGGGUCUAUUGAAGCUGCAAAUAAAAAUAUCAAGAAAAUCAUCCAGAAGAUGGUUGUCACGUACAAGGAUUGGCACGAGAUGUUACCUUUUGCGUUACAUGGCUAUCGCACGUCGGUACAAAUUUCAACAAGGGCAACUCCUUAUUCCUUGGUAUACGGUAUGGAAGCAGUUCUCCCUAUAGAGGUGGAGAUCCCCUCGAUGAGAGUCUUGAUGGAGGCUAAGCUAGACGAGGCAGAAUGGGUUCAAUCAAGGUACGAUGAGCUCAGCCUUAUUGAGGAGAAGCUCUUGAAAGCGUUAGGUCAUGGUCAACUCUAUUAGAGGCGUCUUAAAAAGGCAUUCGACAAGAAAGUUCGUCCCAGGGUGUUUCAAGAGGGAGAUUUAGUGCUGAAGAAAAUUUUGCCUAUUCACAAAGACUCCAGAGGGAAAUGGACACCAAAUUAUGAAGGUCCAUUUGUGGUGGUUAGAGCCUUUUCCGGAGGCGCUAUGAUUCUAGCAACUAUGGACGGUGAUGAGUUGCCGCUUCCCACCAAUAUUGAUGCUGUUAAAAAAUACUUCGCCUAAAAAAGUGGAAUAAUAAAAGCCGCUAAAUCGAAAACCUGAAAGGGGGAUUUAGGGAAAAAUGGCUAUCCCGGUGGAUUGAAAACCCGAAAGGGCGAUCCAGGCAAAAAUUAGGGAUGAAAAUAAAAGAAUCUGACCCGCUGAGUUGAAAACCCGAAAGGGCGACUCAGGCAAAAAUGGGUAUCCUUGUGGAUCGAAAACCCGAAAGGGCGAUCCAAGCAAAAGUUAGGGAUUAAUUCCAAGGCAAAUAGUUGUACUUACAAACAUCUAACAUACCCUCGAAGACAAAGAAUCAAUCUACCUUACUUUUCACAAGCGAAGUGCUCGGACUAUCAAAGACAUAAGGAUCAUAGCAGUGUGGAAACUCGAUAAGGACUCAAUUUUCAUUGCUAUUUUGUUUCUAUGCACAUCAAUUACCUCAUUAAGGAAUUGCGUCUUUAUGUACAAUCACCCAUUUAAGGGUCGAAUCAAUAAAAGAGAAUUUUUCUCAACAAAAGUGUGCCCAAAUCAUUUUUUAUUUUAUCUGUUUGUUUGCAAAACACCUUUUAUUUUUGAUAAACAUCACUUUUAAAAAACUAUUGGAGAAAAUAAAACACAUGUUUGAAUAAAGUGGUAAAAUUGCUUUUGAAACAGUAAGCGAACGAAUCCUUUAGUCCCCAAGAUUUAUUCUUGUUUUUCAUAAAGGAAUAUGACUGAUUGCAAAUGGUUAUGUUCCUUUCAACUACUAAUUCACACCUCUCAUAAAUGUACUCAUGGUAUAGCCGGACUGGGGCAAGGCUCCAUCACAUUUCCAAUAGAAACAUUGGUAAAUCAUGGACGGAGUAUCGCGUGUUGAGAAGUCUGAACCUUUCAGUAACUUGGAGCAACCCAAAUAUAUUCCCAAAAACACCUAGCAGUGGCAUUAAAAUUUGAUCUCCAUUAAUCAUCCCAAUAACAAAAGUCUACCCUAUUGGCAUCGUACCUCAAAGCAAAACGUAUUAACUGGGGCAUGUCCGAUUAUCCAUUUACAUUCUAACAUGCAUCAUAUAAAUCAUUCAUAAUUGUUUUUUUUCUCUAUCAAACAGAAAAAUUGAAGAAACACGGUCAUAUCGAUCAUCAGCAUACUCAUGCAUAGCCCUCCCAUAAAGUUGGAAGUUCAACAAAUAAAAAUCAUUCGCAUUCCUACACGCACAACCAAAAAUCCCCAGCAAUUGCAUACCUGCAUGCAUCUCAUGCAUCAUCCCAUGCAUAGAAUUCCCACCUAAAGUGGGACAUCAUACAAAAAUCAAAAGUAAAAUAUCAGGAUCCAAGGUCAUUCAUAUAUAUCUUGGGCAUUCCUCAUUUCCAAAUGAAGUUAUUACCCUACAUAUGCUCUUGGGAUUAUUUCUCAGCAAAUCAUUUUUUUCAAAACUUUAUGAUUAAUAAUGAUAUUCCCAACAUUCUCUUUACAAUCAUUGCUCCCCAAGCAGAGGUUACCCUAAAAAGUCUCUUAUGAGCUUUUUCCCCUGCAGAGCAUUUCUAGUAAAUCUCCCUCAAAAGGAGUCUUUUAAAAAAAAAAUCCCCCAACAGACGAAUAUUUGAGAUACGACUUCAUUUAUCUAAAGAAUCUCGUUUGUCUGUCCGAGAUACUGCCUCAUUUAUCUGAAGAAUCUCGUUUAUCUUUUAGAGAUACUGCUCUAAUAUCCUCGGAGAGUCUUAGAUUUAAUUAAAGUAUUUUUCCCUUGCUGGAAUAUCUUAAUUCUAUCAUAUAAGAUACUAUUUCGACCCGAUACAGAGAAUCUCACUUUUACUGUUUGAGAUGCUGCUUCAUCAAUAUGAAGAGUCUCAUUUCAGAUUCUUUUAGAGAUACCGCUCUAAUAUCCUCGGAGAGUCUUAGAUUUAAUUAAGGUAUUUUCCCUUGCUGGAAUAUCUUAAUUCUAUCAUAUAAGAUGUUGUUUCGACCCGAUACAGAGAAUCUCACUUUUAUUGUUUGAGAUGCUGCUUCAUCAAUAUGAAGAGUCUCAUUUCAGAUUUUUUUAGAGAUACUGCUCUAAUAUCCUCGGAGAGUCUUAGAUUUAAUUAAGGUAUUUUCCCUUGCUGGAAUAUCUUAAUUCUAUCAUAUAAGAUGCUGUUUCGACCCGAUACACAGAAUCUCACUUUUACUGUUUGAGAUGCUGCUUCAUCAAUAUGAAGAGUCUCAUUUCAGAUUCUUUUAGAGAUACUGAUCUAAUAUCCUCGGAGAGUCUUAGAUUUAAUUAAGGUAUUUUUUUCCCUUUUCCAGAAUAUCUUAAUUCUAUCAUAUAAGAUGUCGUUUUGACCCGAUACAGAGAAUCUCACUUUUACUGUUUGAGAUGCUGCUUCAUCAAUAUGAAGAGUCUCAUUUCAGAUUCUUUUAGAGAUACUGCUCUAAUAUCCUCGGAGAGUCUUAGGUUCAAUUAAGGUAUUUUUUCCCUUUGCUGGAAUAUCUUAAUUCUAUCAUAUAAAAUGUUGUUUCGACCCGAUACAGAGAAUCUCAUUUUUACUGUUUGAGAUGUUGCUUCAUCAAUAUGAAGAGUUUCAUCAUUUUAGAUUCUUUUUAGAGACACUGCUCUAAUAUCCUCGGAGAGUCUUGGAUUCAAUUAAGGUAUUUUUCCCUUGCUGGAAUAUCUUAAUUCUAUUAUAUAAGAUGUUGUUUCGACCCGAUACAGAGAAUCUCAUUAUUACUAUUUGAGAUGCUGCUUCAUCAAAAAUGAAGAGUCUCACGCCAGAUUUCCUUUAUAUUACUCUAGUAUCCUGGAAAGUCUUGAGAUUUAGCUAGGGAUGUCACUCCACAUGUCUCGACUGAGAUGUCCAAGAUACUGUUCUGAUGACUCACAGAAAGUCUUGAUUGUUCCAUUUUAGUGUAGGAUAAUGCCUUUUGCCAUUUCUCACCGCAUUUUAUAUAUAUAUAUAUACUAUUAUAUAAAUAUAUAUAUUAUAUAUAUAUUUUUUUUUUUUUUUUUUUUAUUCCUUGCAUUUCCUAGGACAAAAUUUAGGUCUUCUUGUAUUUAAGUAUCUCUCACCGCGAAUGCACAAAGACUGUUGUCAUUCUUACUUUCCGGUUUGAGGUAAUUAAAUAGGGGCAACUGUCAUACCCCAAUUUUGUCCGGUCCUUGGUAACAUCAAGUCUUUAAUGAUACUCUCAUCGGUUAAGAUCCUUAAGAAAAUAUCUGUUGCAUUUGUUUUUACUAAAACAUGGGAUGGUAUAUGCAUUUUUGGAUAACAAAUCCCAUUGUGGUUUACCCGUGAGAUCUCUUUGUUACAAAGGCCCAUUUGCAUAAACGUGUCCAUAAUUUAAAAUGUGGUUUGAAUUUUUUACACUACUAAUUAAAAUCCAUUUGAUUCUUGGUAAGAUAUUAAGAGUCAUGGAUGUUUUUAUGAUCACUCAUCAUUAAACCUAUUUGCACGUCCCAAAUACAUAUGCCAAAUCUCUAAACCAUUCAUAAAAAUCCUUAAGUUAAGUGAGUAUGUUGGUUUAAGAUUAAGAUAUUACGUGCAUGGGUAUUUAAUUAGUUUCUAUGAUCAAAUUUUGAAAGUGUAACAUUUUGUGACAUGUUUUUAUCUUAGGCUAUUUUUGGCACAUUUUAUUUUCGAUAAUAUUAAUGUGUUUUUCGAUAAUAUUAAUGUGUUAAAAUCAAUCAAAUUAAAAGUCCAUUAAAUAGCAUUGUUGAGCCCAAUUCAUUUUUGGUUUGAAUUAUUUGUGUUAAAAUCAAUCAAAUUAAAAGUCCAUUAAAUAGCAUUGUUGAGCCCAAUUCAUUUUUGGUUUGAAUUAUAGUUUAAAUUUUCUUUUGGUUAAUACAAUUAAUUUGUUAAGGCAAAGUUUAAAUUUUUUUAAAAAGUAGAGAAACUAAUUACACAAAAAAAUACUUCCAAAUAAAUUCUGAAUAAUUCAAAAGGCCAAUGCAUAAUAACAAAGGGGUUACACGUUUAACCCAACUUUUCAAAAGCCGAAGUAUUCUAAUCAAUUUCAAAUUUCUAAUAUUAAAUCCCAAUAUUAUUACAAAGUUUGGAGUACAUUUAAAAUAAGUUGAAAAUUGGAAUAAGUUGUAAAAACAGCAAUCUAAAGUAACAAGUCUUCAAGGACUUCUUCAAAACCAAUGGUUGAAAUUCACGCCCCAAUUUUAGCCUCCAAAGCUGGCGCCACCCUCUCUUCACUCAAUGUCCACUCACCUUUUGCAAACCUGCAAAACCAAUUCACAAUUAAAAAAAAAAUAGCUUAUCCAAAUAAGCACUUUAAAAACUAGAAAAUAAAGGAUGGAACAAACAGAUUAACUCCAUAAGAUCACAUUCCAAUAUCCAAACCAACAACCUUAAAUCCAUAAGAUUAAUCAUCCCACAAAAUC
rnacentral:lncRNA from 1 species